rnacentral:rRNA from 1 species
AGCGAACGCUGGCGGCAGGCUUAACACAUGCAAGUCGAGCGGGCACUUUCGGGUGUCAGCGGCGGACGGGUGAGUAACGCGUGGGAACGUGCCCUCUGGUUCGGAAUAACUCAGGGAAACUUGAGCUAAUACCGGAUACGCCCUUUUGGGGAAAGGCUUGCUGCCGGAGGAUCGGCCCGCGUCUGAUUAGCUAGUUGGUGAGGUAACGGCUCACCAAGGCGACGAUCAGUAGCUGGUCUGAGAGGAUGAUCAGCCACACUGGGACUGCGACACGGCCCAGACUCCUACGGGAGGCAGCAGUGGGGAAUAUUGUACAAUGGGCGCAAGCCUGAUCCAGCCAUGCCGCGUGAGUGAUGAAGGCCUUAGGGUUGUAAAGCUCUUUUAUCCGGGACGAUAAUGACGGUACCGGAGGAAUAAGCCCCGGCUAACUUCGUG